rnacentral:rRNA from 1 species
AUGUGUUCCUUCUUCUUUACAUUUGCAAUUUUCCUCUGCUGCAUGAUUGUGAUCGCAGCUGUCAACGAGGCCCAACCUCCCGGCGUUGGCGAUCUCUUCGUCCGACUUAUAGGCAAAAGUGGGCUUGAUCCCAGCGCCUCUCUGCCGACUUCGCCGGCUUUCCGCCUUGCCUUGGACUUCUAUUGGACACCACGAACAUACCGGCGCUGCAGCGGAGGAGGCAACUCGUUGCUGCGUGUCUCCUACCAUGACAUGAUCCUGGCGUGGGCUCAAGUGUCCUACCAUGACAUGAUCCUGGCGUGGGCUCAAGUGCCACAUUUCUGCGUCUACGGCCACCGGGGCAUUGACAGUGUUGGUACCUGCCAAGGCAGACGCCUCCGUGCUGCGAGAGGAGGUGCGCAACUUGCUUUGGAGCGAGAUUCAGGUUGUGGGGAAGGUCGAGUUCGACGUGGAAGGAGAGGUGGCGGGCCCAGGGUAUCUUCGCUGCAAGUUCUUCAUCAUGAAAGAUAA